GAUGAAGAACGUAGCGAAAUGCGAUAAGUAGUGUGAAUUGCAGAAUUCAGUGAAUCAUCGAAUCUUUGAACGCACAUUGCGCCCUUUGGUAUUCCAAAGGGCAUGCCUGUUCGAGCGUCAUUUCAACCCUCAAGACCCCUUCGGGGGACUUGGUGUUGGGGACCGGCACAGGGGCCUGCCUGCUUGUCUUGCAGCGCCCUCGCCGCCCCCGAAAUGAAUUGGCGGCCUCGUCGCGGCCUCCCCUGCGUAGUAGCACAACCUCGCAACGGGAACGUGACGGCGGCCACUGCCGUAAAACAACCCCAAUUUUAUUAGAGUUGACCUCGAAUCAGGUAGGAAUACCCGCUGAACUUAAGCAUAUCAAUAAGCGGAGGA
rnacentral:misc_RNA from 1 species